GAAUCUUUUAAUCCCUGAACCAUGCCAGCACGCUCGACUUUGAUGCCCCAUACGUUCUUGAUCGUUAUGCCUCUUACUAUGGGAAGAGCGGAUGUGUUGAAUUUAUCGUCUGGAUGAUCUCCGGUGUCGCCAGAGAUCUUAAUCCCGGUCCGGACUUUUUCUAGGUAAACCCCGGAGAUUGUUAUCCCCUGUAUGCUUCCUCCUCGGCCAAUGUUUGUCUUGAUGUGGAUGCCGAUACCAGAAUUGUAGAGAGUGAUGUUUUCAACUGUUACAUUUUGGAUUCCGCCAGAAGUUUCGCUUCCGAUGGCUAUUCCAGCAAAUGGGGAAGAUCCAGUGAUGCGGCGGAUGGUGAUGUCAC